rnacentral:piRNA from 2 species
UCUAUCCGAGGACAAUAUAUUAA